UACGAAGGGGACAAGCGUUGUUCGGAAUCAUUGGGCGUAAAGGGCGCGUAGGCGGACUUGUAAGUCGGUUGUGAAAUCCCUGGGCUUAACCCGGGAAUUGCAUUCGAAACUGCAAGUUUUGAGUUCUCGAGAGGAUGGUGGAAUUCCUGGAGUAGUAGUGAAAUACGUAGAUAUCGGGAGGAACACCUGUGGCGAAAGCGGCUCACUGGACCACAACUGACGCUGAUGCGCGAAAGCUAGGGGAGCAAACAGG
rnacentral:rRNA from 1 species